AACGAACGCUGGCGGCAUGCCUAACACAUGCAAGUCGAACGAAGGCUUCGGCCUUAGUGGCGCACGGGUGAGUAACGCGUGGGAAACUGCCUAUUGGUGGGGAAUAACGACGGGAAACUGUCGCUAAUACCGCAUAAGCCCUUCGGGGGAAAGAUUUAUCGCCAAUAGAUGUGCCCGCGUCCGAUUAGCUAGUUGGUGAGGUAAUGGCUCACCAAGGCGACGAUCGGUAGCUGGUCUGAGAGGAUGAUCAGCCACACUGGGACUGAGACACGGCCCAGACUCCUACGGGAGGCAGCAGUGGGGAAUAUUGGACAAUGGGCGAAAGCCUGAUCCAGCAAUGCCGCGUGAGUGAUGAAGGCCUUAGGGUUGUAAAGCCCUUUCGGGUGGGACGAUGAUGACGGUACCACCAGAAGAAGCCCCGGCUAACUUCGUGCCAGCCGCCGCGGUAA
rnacentral:rRNA from 1 species